rnacentral:rRNA from 1 species
AUUGAACGCUGGCGGCAGGCCUAACACAUGCAAGUCGAGCGAGCGGCGGACGGGUGAGUAAUGUCUGGGAGACUGCCUGAUGGAGGGGGAUAACUACUGGAAACGGUAGCUAAUACAGCAUACCAUCAGAUGUGCCCAGAGGGGGUUAGCUAGUAGGUGGGGUAACGGCUCACCUAGGCGACGAUCCCUAGCUGGGCUGAGAGGAUAAUCAGCCACACUGGAACUUGGACACGUCCCAGACUCCUACGGGAGGCAGCAGUGGGGAAUAUUGGACAAGGGGCGCAAGCCUGAUGCAGCCAGGCCGCGUGUGUGAAGAAGGCCUUCGGGUUGUAAAGCACUUUCAGCGGGGAGGCGUUACCCGCAGAAGAAGCACCGGCUAACUCCGUGCCAGCAGCCGCGGUAAUUC